GACGUAGGGCGCAAGCGUUUGUCCGGAUUUAUUGGGCGUAAAGAGCUCGUAGGCGGCUUGUUGCGUCGACCGUGAAAACCCGUGGCUCAACUGCGGGCUUGCGGUCGAUACGGGCAGGCUAGAGUUCGGUAGGGGGAGAUCGGAAUUCCUGGAUGUAGCGGUGAAAUGACGCAGAUAUCAGGAGGAACACCGGUGGCGAAGGCGGAUCUCUGGGCCGAUACUGACGCUGAGGAGCGAAAGCGUGGGGAGCGAACAGG
rnacentral:rRNA from 1 species